GUAUACGGCCAUGCCACCCCAAACAAGCCUGAUCCCGUUUGAUCUCAGAAGCUAAGCAGGGUCAGGCCUGGUUAGUACUUGGAUGGGAGACCACCUAGGAAGACCAGGCCCUGUAGGCA
ensembl:rRNA 5S_rRNA 5S ribosomal RNA